CCCUUCUCAGGGUCGCACCUGGAGAGUUUCCGGUAGUCUACCAGUCUCGGCUCCAUGAAGGAGAGUCAAGCAGAGGCCUGUCCAUUCCAUUCCUAGCUUGGCCAGUGGCUAGCGAGUGGAAGGCCAACUGCUACAAAU
rfam:Ornithorhynchus anatinus chromosome X1, whole genome shotgun sequence.